GAUGAACGCUAGCGAUAGGCUUAACACAUGCAAGUCGAGGGGCAGCGAGGGUAGCAAUACCUGUCGGCGACCGGCGCACGGGUGAGUAACGCGUAUGUAACCUGCCCGCAACAGGGGGAUAACCCGGCGAAAGUCGGACUAAUACCGCAUAAAACAGGGGUCCCGCAUGGGAAUAUUUGUUAAAGAUUUAUCGGUUGCGGAUGGGCAUGCGUACCAUUAGGUAGUUGGUGAGGUCACGGCUCACCAAGCCUUCGAUGGUUAGGGGUUCUGAGAGGAAGGUCCCCCACACUGGUACUGAGACACGGACCAGACUCCUACGGCAGGCAGCAGUGAGGAAUAUUGGUCAAUGGGCGAGAGCCUGAACCAGCCAAGUCGCGUGAAGGAUGACUGCCCUAUGGGUUGUAAACUUCUUUUACAAGGGAAUAAAAUGAGAUACGUGUAGUUUAUUGCAUGUACCUUGGGAAUAAGCAUCGGCUAACUCCGUG
rnacentral:rRNA from 1 species